rnacentral:rRNA from 1 species
AUUGAACGCUGGCGGCAUGCCUUACACAUGCAAGUCGAACGGUAACAGGUCUUCGGAUGCUGACGAGUGGCGAACGGGUGAGUAAUACAUCGGAACGCGCCCGAGAGUGGGGGAUAACGAAGCGAAAGCUUUGCUAAUACCGCAUACGAUCUCAGGAUGAAAGCAGGGGACCGCAAGGCCUUGCGCUCACGGAGCGGCCGAUGGCAGAUUAGGUAGUUGGUGGGAUAAAAGCUUACCAAGCCGACGAUCUGUAGCUGGUCUGAGAGGACGACCAGCCACACUGGGACUGAGACACGGCCCAGACUCCUACGGGAGGCAGCAGUGGGGAAUUUUGGACAAUGGGCGCAAGCCUGAUCCAGCCAUGCCGCGCGCAGGAUGAAGGCCUUCGGGUUGUAAACUGCUUUUGUACGGAACGAAAAGACUCUGGUUAAUACCUGGGGUCCAUGACGGUACCGUAAGAAUAAGCACCGGCUAACUACGUGCCAGCAGCCGCAGUAACAC